UACGUAGGGAGCAAGCGUUGUCCGGAAUCAUUGGGCGUAAAGCGCGCGUAGGCGGCCCUGUAAGUCCGCUGUGAAAGUCAAAGGCUCAACCUUUGAAAGCCGGUGGAUACUGCAGGGCUAGAGUCCGGAAGAGGCGAGUGGAAUUCCUGGUGUAGCGGUGGAAUGCGCAGAUAUCAGGAGGAACACCAAUAGCGAAGGCAGCUCGCUGGGACGGUACUGACGCUGAGACGCGAAAGCGUGGGGAGCAAACAGG
rnacentral:rRNA from 1 species